rnacentral:tRNA from 1 species
GCAGUGGUAGUUCAGAGAUAGAAUUCUCGCCUUCCAUGCGGGAGACUUGGGUUCAAUUCCUGGCCAGUGCA